GUUCAUUUCCUAUAGGGACUGAAAACCAAGUGAGGAGAUGAAGGAUUGAACUGUAUUGCACUAGAGAAUACAGAGAGGAUACACACUGCAGAUAGAUUCUGACCAUCACCCAAGGAACAACUGCAUAACUGUGGGAAGACAUCCAGUCCCUUCACAGCAUUGCUCAACACAGAGAAAGUUGGGCAGUGAAACCAUCAUACGGAAAUCAGUCAGAUCAGGGAGGUUUGACUUAUCAUCAGAUCCGACACUGGUCAGUGGUGUGGAGCCUUCCAUCAGAACCAACCUUUCUGAAGGUUCAGCUGUGGGUGAUUGGUCAGGGUGAGGCUGGGAAGAAGUGUGAGUGGGCUCCAAGUGUGGUGAGAGCUUCAGUCAUUCAUCGAGCCUCAUGACCCACUGACUCAUUCCUACAGAGGAGAGGCUGUUUUUGAUUGGGAGCAGAGUUCCUUACCUGGUAAUAUCUGUUAAUACACAAGGUGCAUCGGUUGUUUAACUGUUAAGACAGAACUGUUAAUUGCAUGGAAGACAAACAUUUCCAGUGUGACAUGUGUGACCGAGCUUUUGCAAGGUCCUCAAUGCUUGUAAAUCACCAACGCAUUCACACUGGGGAGAAGCCUUUCAAAUGCGAGGAGUGCAACAAGGGCUAUGCACGAUUAUCAGGUCUGGUGAUUCACCGACGAGUUCAUACUGGGAAGAAACCGUUCACAUGUGAGGUGUGUGAGAAAUCAUUCUUACAGUCAUCAACCCUCCUCAUGCACCAACGCAUUCACACAGGGGAGAAACCAUUCACAUGUGAGAUAUGCAAUAAAUCAUUUUCACAGUCCUCAACGCUUGUUGUACACCAACGCAUUCAUACAGGGGAGAAACCAUUCAAAUGCAAGGUGUGUGACAAAUCCUUCUCAUCAUCAUCAGAACUUCGUGUACACCAACGUAUUCACACAGGAGAGAAACCAUUCAGUUGUGACUUGUGUGGUAAAUCAUUCUUGAGGUCAUCAGAACUCCGUGUCCAUCAACGCAUUCACACAGGGGAGAAACCAUUCACCUGCGAAGUAUGUGACAAAUCAUUCUCGUCAUCAUCGCACCUCCGCGUCCAUCAACGUAUUCACACGGGGGAGAAACCAUUCACCUGUGAAGUCUGUGACAAAUCAUUCUCAUCAUCAUCAAACCUCCAUGUGCACCAACGCAUCCACACAGGGCAGAAACCAUUCCGGUGUGGGAUGUGUGACAAAUCAUUCUCUCAGUCAGGAGACCUCUGCACGCACCAUCUCAUUCACACAGGGGAGAAACUGUUUAAGUGUGAGAUGUGUCAGAAAUCAUUCUCCAAUUCAUCGAGACUCCUGCGCCAUCAGAUGAUUCAUACAGGAGAGAAACCAUUCAGGUGUGAGAUGUGUGGCAAAUUAUUUUCACAGUUAGGAGACCUCCACAGUCACCAACGCAUUCACACAGGGGAGAAACCAUACACAUGUGAUGUGUGCAUGAAAUCAUUCUCUCAUUCAUCAACCCUCCGCAGACACCAACGUAUUCACUCGGCAGAGAAACUAUUUGCUUGUGAGGUGUGUGACAAAUCAUUCUCAAAGCCAUUAAGCCUCCUGCUGCAUCAGAGGACCCACACAGGGAAGAAACUAUCUGUGUGUGAAGUGUGUCAUAAAUCAUUCGCGAAUUCAUCGAAUCUCCGCAGACACAAAAGCAUCCACACAGGGGAGAAACCAUUCACAUGCGAAGUGUGUGACAAAUCAUUCUCAAAGUCCUGGAACCUCCUGCUCCAUCAGAGGAUUCACACAGGGGAGUAACCCUUCAACUGUAGGUUUAACAUUCUGUGCUGGUUUCAACUACCUGGGAUACUCCAGGAUUUACACAGGGUAGAAAUUCUUCAGGUGUGAUGUUUGUGACUGUUUUUGCAUAGUCAGCAUAUCUCCUGGUCCAUCAAUGCUUUCACCAGGGAGAUGCCCUUCAGAGUCAGUUCUGCAGUAAAGUUUUUACACUGUUGUUGGAUCUCUUGGAACAUCAAUGAACACACACCAGAGCCAAUGCACCUGUGCCAGGAUUGAUUCAUAUCCUCCUCCUCUCACCACACACCAACAUCUCCACACAGACUUGGAGCUGGGUCACCUGCUCCAUCAGACUGAGAGCUGUCUGUGUUGUUUCCCCUCCAGUGCUCACACAAGGGAGCUGUCAUUCCAGAGCACUGUCUGUCUCAGCAGGUCUAUCUCUCUCAUGAGCAGACCAAUGAUUUCAAGGUCAAUUUCACCUUUUGACCAGACCACCAAACACCACAAAAGAAGACAUUAGCAGAGGGUCACUUCAGCUAUAAUGUUUGUAAUGAACUCACUGUCCAGGGCGUUCAGUAGUAUUGGGGCGUAGAACUAGAAGCAGCUUUCACUUUCCAUCAAACAACUAGGGAUGACAACAGCAAUGCUGAGGGAUUAUAAUAUCAAUUUUUGAGUUUUGAUUUUUUUUUGAUUGUCAUGUUACAAAUAGGUAACAAGUUUUAAAAUAAAUCUCUCUCCCUAUUCUCACCACUCGUCCAUAAGCAGAAUGUGAUUUAAAUUUUCCCCUAAUUUUUAACAAUGGGUGUGUAUUUUCCACACUCACUAUUUUUGAGGGCUCUAACUUUGUAAGGACCGCAACAAGACUGUGAUCAUGAAAAAUAGGAUAUAUUUCACACACUGGUUGGUGGUCAGUGAAUUCUUCACAACACAGGCACACUUAUAAUCACACAAGGAGAUUUAAAAGCAGAACAAAUAGAUACAGAGGUUCGGAUCAAUUUGUAAUCAAUUAAUCAUAAAAAAUGAUGGAUACCAGUUUAUCAGUGUUCUUGUUUUUAAAUCCAGAGUCAGAUAGGCCAAAUUUAGAGUUGGCAGUCUGGAAUUUUCAUAUAGAGUGAUAUUGAUUAGCUCGCCAGCAAUUGAAUUGUAGGUAGCUUAUUUUUAAAAAUCCCUUUAAAAGUUUUCUGAGGAAGUUUUGCUGAAACGCACUUCUACUUCGCUGUUUUGAUGAAAGCAGAUUUAUUUACAGAAUGCAAAAAUACGGGUUUGUGGCUCCAUUUUCCAUGCCAGAGGCUUCUCCUUUGUCACCCAGAAUUAAGUGUUGAUUUUAUCAGUAAAUGUGGAAUGGAGCAACAUUGUCCCCUAAACUGUCUGCCGUUUCGGAACUGCAAUUAAGAAGUAUUCAAUGCUGUGGAAGUCACAUGACUAAACCUCCUGGUGGAGUAGAAGAAGUUACUUUUAAGACAAAUGCUGCCUUGCAGAGAGCCGGCUGUUUAUGACUCUUUACAAGGGUUAAGGGAAAAGUUAUUAAUACAUCUUCUUAUAGGAUGGAUGUAACUUUCAGUUCUAUUGUGCGAGGGAUUCUUUUUGAGAGUUGUCCCUGUAGCAAAUUAAAAUACAAUUGUUCAUCUUCCAGAUCCAUCAGGAGAUACCUGAGUGUCAGUGGUCUGGCUGAUAUUGACUUUGACGAAUUUUGUGGAAGAUUUUUGUGAAGUUCAGUUAUACAAUUAAAGCAGUCAUCUUUGUUGGGCUGUUUACUGUGUUUUUAAGAAGUCAUACGUAUCAACAAUUGAUUUGUUCUUUGUGUAUGACACGACAAUGGAGCCACCCUGCAGUGUGAUGUCAGUGACACAGGACUUGGAGCAAUCCCCAUGCAGUGAGGGCAACCCGUUGGGUUUGUAUCCAGAGCGUUAACACACACUGAACAAUGCUGUACACAGACGGAGAAAGAGAGCCUGCCUGUUGUUUUUGCUUGUGAGCUUUUCAACCACUAAAACCACUUCAGUGUUUUCUAAAGCAUUUGAACAGGGUGUUACUAUUAUGACCAAGAUGGGAAGAGUGCACUGUCACUCUCUCUUUAAUCCCACUGCUCCAAGGGCGCAACAUCAAUGUAACUGUUUUACCUUGUUCCCAAUAUGGUCAAUCUUAUGCUUAGUCAAUAUUAGACUUAGAAUAAAAAGAUCCACCAACCAGGUUGCUUAAAUCAAGACAAAAUUAUUGACAACUUAUUCAGUGAAGAUGUAGAACUGGUUAACACACAGUUUGCAAUAUGAAAAUAUAAAUGUUUACACCUUUAAUAACACAAAACACCCACACACACAUCAUGUAGAGGAGAAAAUAAUGAUUUCUCUUAUAGAAAUUCAUAUUGGACAAAAGCACUCUUGGUGAAUACGGGUUAUUUCUUGAAGGAAAAAGAUAAGGUGUGGAACGUCCAGCUGGCUGUCAACCUGGUGUUCUGGCACAUAUAGACAGGUCAUUGUCUCUUAGUCUUGGCAGAUGCAUCUUGCCCAAGAAACACAGUAUUGGUAAGUUUGUAAUACCAAACUGUACCAAAACUGGAAUUUUAGUUUUUGAAUUUUUCUACAAAGGCUUAAGGGUUGUGAAUUGUAUAUACCAGUGAUUCCCUGUAGCAAUUGUGGACAUAUGCUUCAAAAUGUUUAAGAGCCAGUUGUAAUCCCCCUCAGGUUUCUUUGUCCUCUGUGGAUGAUCAGUUUUAGUGUUGAUGAACUUUUUGAAAAAGUAUCCAUUGGCUUUUCUAUGUCUGGCUCAUAUUCUCAUAACAGGACUGCAUCUAGUCAUAAGUCACAGCAUCAAUUACUAACUUUAAGGGUUUAAUGAAAUUAGGGGCAGCCAACGCUGGUCCAUUAAUUAAAUUGGCUUUCAGUCUCAUAAAAACUGUUUGAUAAUCUCCUAAACAAAAACAGGUAUUUCUGGAAAAGCUCAGCAGGUCUGGCAGCAUCUGUGGAGAGAAAUCAGAGUUAAAGUUUCAGGUUGAGUGACCCUUCCUCAGAACUUUUUGUUUCUGAUUUAUAGCAUCCACAGUUCUUUCAUAGUGUCAUACAACAGAGAUACAGACCUUUUGGUCCAACCAGUCCAUGCUGAACAUAAUCCUGAACUAAACCAGUCCCACCUGCCUCCGGUUUUGAUAAUCUCCUGAUCAUGUUACUCUAACUUUCUUUAGUAGAUCUGUCAGUGGAGCACAAAUUUAGAAUUGAAACCACAUAUCCCUGAAAAACUUCAUAAUUUCAGCUUUAGUUUUAGGGCCAGGGAAUUCGACUUUUGCUGCUCUAGGCAGCAGUUGUCCUUGCCCUACUGUAGGUCCUAAACUGGUCACCUGCACAUUUGCAAACUUUUGGCAAUGUUCAUCAUCAAACCAAUUGAUUGUAAUUUUUUAAAUAGAACUUUCACUUGUUCUUCCAUUAUUCCCUAUAUACCAUAAUCAAGGUAGACUACACAGUUAGGAACGCUGGCUACUACUUGGUGCAUGAGUCUCUGGAGAGUGGCUUGGGCAUCUUUUAUCCUGAAUCACAUCAUCACUGGAAAAGACUGUCUAGUGUGACAAAGUUUGAAAUCUCUUUUAGUUAUUGAUGUUAAAGCAGCCUGUCAGUAUCCCUUUAACAAAUCUAUUUUAGUAAGAAAUACUGUAGACUCUAAUAACACAGCUUUCCAAGCAAGGAAUUGAGUAGGAGGUGCCUUUGUUACCGCAUUGACCAUUCCGUAGUCUAUGCACAAUUUAGAUUGAACCAUCACUCAUAAGCACUAACAUUACUGGGGAAUUUCAGCCAGGAUCACUCAGUGGUUUUCCAACAUGGAUUAUAUUUCUCUUUUCAUAUGGGCCUGUUUUGCUGAACGUAAAUGAUAAGAUGUUAUUUUGUUCUGAUGAAGAGUUACAGACUUGAAACAUUAGCUCAGAUUUCUUCCCACAGAUGCUGCCAAACCUGCUGAGUUUCGCCAAUAAUUUCUGAUUUUGUUUCAGAUCUUCAGCAUUUGCAGUUCUUUGUUUUAUUUCAGGCCUCUUUGUUGGUCUGUAUCUGAAUAUGAGGGUAUAAUGUCUGUCCUUUCUAACAGUUCAGUAUUACCUAACCAGAUAGUAGCUUCAUCAUAUUGACAUGACACAACCUGUUCUUCUGGUAAUCUGAGGUGUCAGUUCAAAAAAUUGCUUUAGCAAUCCUUUUGACUACCACAGAGGGACCUCUGAACUACACUUUCAAUGGACAAUGCUGGAUAUCUGUUGGGGGAGUUCUUGGAUUCAAUCAUUAAGAAGGCAACAGCUGAACACUUGUGAAGAGUCAGCAUGGGUUUGUGAAAGAGAAAUCAUGUUUAACCAACUUAUUGGAGUUUUUUGAAGGAGUAAUGUACUGUAGAGAAGGGAAAGCCUGUUGAAGUAUUAUACCCUGAUUGCCAGAAGGCAUUUGACAAGGUGCUACAGGAAAUUGGGACAAUUCUGAUGUCUAGAUAUCUAAUGUUUUGAUUAAAUGUAACUUUUAUAUUAAAGUAAACUUUAUAAUUGUAUGGAUUUUAGAUUUUCAUCGCACAAAACAAUGUAUCAGGUUAAUAAUGUGACUACUUCAUUAUUUUACAUAACUGUUUCACAGUUUGUUGAGAUUAGCAGUUUGUGAUUUUCUGUAUUUGUUUUAGUUUUUAAAUAGUUUUGAAGUUAUGAACAACUUUUUGUACUGUCUUUUGCCCUUUCCAAAAAAAAGUAAUAUAAACUCUUUCCAAGCAUUCAAACACAGGAGAAACCAACAUGAGUGAACAGAUGGCCGUAAGAGAAACUGAAAGGUUUGCCAUAAGUGACCGAUUUAUUGGAAGCUCCGUCAACUAAGUGAGAAUUGAGACAUGAGCUCAAAAAUAUCAAUCGUUGAAUCCUGACUGCAUAUGGUUCCCUUUUAUUAAACAGAAACACAUAGAACAUUUCAAUCAACCCGCUAAACAAACACUCAUAAAGUAACAAUUAACAGACCAUAGUGAAGAGGUGACAUUAAUGAAUUUCCAUCACACUUAACAGCCAAUUAGAAAUUGAUCAUGCAUCCCAUAAACUAGUUAGCAAUAAACACUGCAAAGCCUAGGUCAAUCAAUAAUGAUGUAACUGAUCAUGUUGCGGGAUGUGGUUUAGAAAGAGUUAAGAGUUUUGAUGACAGAAGUACAGAUCAAGUUUGAAAACAAAGUUAUCCUGCUAUCAAAGUGGAACAGAAGACCCUCGAUGUGUUUCAUAGAGAGAUCAGAGACCAAGUAAUGACCUACUCCCUAAGCUGAACUGGAAAGCAAGUGCUAUAAUAUUCCAGUAAAGUCGAUACCUUAAUUUAAUAGGUAUUAUUUAUAAUCGAAGUAAAGGUUACUUAGUUAUUGCAAUAGACUGUCUUCUGUUGCUUAAUAAUUAAAGUAUCGAAAUGAACAAAGUAAUAGAUCUUACACCAGCUUUCCACAAUCUUCAAACUCAAGUCCUCAAAAAUGAUUAAAAAUGAAGCCAAUGUACCAAUAGGAGCAGUUUUUUUGUUGCUUUGACCAUCUUAUGAACAGUGCUGCAUAAAACCAAGAUGUGGAGGUGCUGGUAUGGGACUGGGGUGGACAAAGUCAGAAAUCACACGACACCAGGUUAUAGUCCAACAGGUUUAUUUGAAAACACAAGCUUUUGGAGCCUCAGUCCUUCUUCAGGUGUUAGUGAGAGAGCUAGUAUCAGACACAGAAUUUAUAUGUAAAAGAUCAAAGGUUCACAACAUUGAUGAGGAUGUACUAAACAAACCUAAGAUGCUGUUAAAUCUUUAAUCAGUUGGAAGGUUUUAAUUGAUUAAUAUGUAUAUGUAUAUAUCCCCAAAUUCCUUUCAAGUCACAGUCUUGAGAGAACUAAAGGUUUUAUCAGUGCAAAAAAGAAGAGGUGACAGUUGAGGUCAAACAGUGCAUGUUAGGUGUGAGGCCUUGUUUAGAAUGUGUUUGUGUUUUAGUUUGGAGUCAGACUGGUUUUAUUUCUAAAGUAAGAAUUUAUAAAACUCCAUAUUGACUGACUGUCUAUAAAUUGUGUGCUUUUUGAACAAAAUAAAAUGUAUCCACAAAUAUAAAUUCACUCUAUAGAUUCUCAUGUGCGUGUGUGCAUGCGAGUAAAUGGGGGAGAGAGAGAGUGUGUGUGUGAGAGUCGGGGGGGGGGAGUGUGUGUGGAGGGGUGGAAGAGAGAGUGUGUGUGUAUGUGGGAGAGAGAGUGUGUGUGUGAGAGACAGACAACAUUGGCUGAGUCACAUAGUGGGUGGUGUUCCCACAUGUGAUGGUAGUAUCCAUGUUGAAGAUCUGAUAUGUCUUGCAGAGGUUACCAUGACAGCGUUGUAUAUGUUGUGGUCGAUGUUGUCCUGAAGGCUGGGUAGUUUGCUGUGAACAAUGGUCUGUUAAAGGUUUGGCAGUUGUUUGUAGGUGAGAAGUGGAGGCGUAGGGAAGAUCUUGGCGAGGUGCUCAUUGUCAUCGAUAAUGUGUUGAAGGCUGCGAAGAACAUGGUGUAGUUUCUCCGCUCCCGGGAAGCACUCAGUGACGAAGGGCACCCUAUCAGAUGUAUCCGAUGUCUGUCUUCUGAGGAGGUCAUUAUGGUUUUUUGCUGUGGCACAUUGGAACAUAAAAUCAAGAAAUCUCUUUUCUUGUUCAGGAAUAGGAAUUUAAUAGAAUCCUUUUCACUUCAAAUGGACUUUCAUUUUGAUUGGGCUUCUCACAACUACUGGAUGUCUCACAUCUCUCUGAAGGCAAUGGGCUGCAGUCAUUGUAAUGUAGGAAACACAGCUGCUCACUACCAGCUCCCAUAAAAAUCACUGCAAUAAUGACUAGAUAAUCUGUCUUUUGUGGUGUUGUAUGAAGCACAAGUACUCUGCAGGAAACUGUGGACAAUUCCCUUGCCCUUCCUUGCAAAAGUUACAAGGGAUCUUUUAAGUCCACUUGAGAACAUACUGGUCCUUGGGUUCUAGUUUAGACAGCACCUCUGACAGUGCAGCAGUCCCGUUACUGCACCUGAGUACCACACACAAUAACACACCCUCAAAUAGAUGUUCUAGCUCCACAUAUACAUCAGGUGUCUGUUUGUUAGGGUGGGCAAAAGACCAGUGUUGAUGAGACUUCUGUAGUUUCCAGCACAAAAUUAUGACUCUUUACUGAGAUAUUCAUAUAUGGUACAGUUACUUUGUUAAGAUUGGUCAGGAGUCCAUCCAGCGUGGUGAAUUCUUACCAAUCAUUCCCUGGUUCAUAUUCUACUAGCUUCCAGCUUUGAGAGAAAAUCUAUGACAAAGUGCAUGUGAAUUCUAUCAUCAUUGACCUUUCAGUUACUAAAGAGCAAUUAUUCCACUCAGUGAUGGGGGAGCUUUGCCUGAGGUCAAAAGACAACAUUGAAGUAUUUGCAAUAACAAGGUUUAGAGCUGGAUGAACACAGUAAGCCCAGCAGCAUCAGAGGAGCAGGAAAACUGACGUUGCAGGCCUAGACCCUUCUUUAGAAAUCAUUUCUGAAUUUCAUGCAGCACAGACUGAGGAGGAGAUGUUGUUUAUUCACGCUGUGUCUCUCUGACGCAGCUCACAGAGAGAAGGAGGAUGUUGAGGAACUGUUUCAGCUACUGGCUACACCUGGGGAUGGAUCACAGUAUUCCAAAGGAAGAGAAAUGGACACAAUCAUUCUGGUAUACUGCAUGCUGAAAAAGAGUCUAGUCGGGGACAGCCCAAGUUAGGAACAAGAAGAGAUGAAUAGAAUGGGAUAUCCCAAUAGAGGUAAAUGGAUCAGGAAAUCCUGAGAAAGGUGAAUGGACCAGCAGACCCCAGUAAAGAUGAACAGACAGGCUUGUUCCAGGAUAGGAGUAAGACAUAUGAAGCCUCAGAAACUGGAACUAAGGACAACUGAAGCACCAAGAGGUGGUCAUUGGACAGGGCAGGACAGGUCAUGGGACAGCUACACAUUUAAUAAGCUCAACACCCCUCCCUCCAACCAUUCAGUUAUCUCACAAGAGUCACUGAAUCUCUCGAAACACCCAGUCGUUCUUCUGUCACACUCCGUCCCAUGCCACUCUUUCCUGUGCUUCUGCCAAUCCCAUCCCUGCACAUCAUCUCUGCUCUAGAUGCUGUGGGUCUUCCUCUUUCUCACUGAUAGUCAGUUUGAAAGCCUCUGAGGAUGAAGAAUGCUAUUCCCACACUAGAAAUCUCUGUCAAACAUUUACCAGGGGAACUGAGACAGCAGCUGCAAUAAGUGAGAUUUUAUUCAGAUGGGACACUGACAAGUUUAAAUCUCCACCUGAUCUGUUGCUCAAAGUCACCUCCAUUUCACCGGUCAGUUUCCCAAACUUCAGGAAACUCCUGUUGCUGCAGAAAUAUUUGGAUUGGCUGUGAGAGACGUCAAUCAGAGAGCCCACCCACUCUGCCCAUUCUCUCCUCUUCCUCUUCCAGAGCUGGUUCACUUCCUAUUGGGACUGAAAACCAAGUGAGGAGAUGAAGGAUUACACCAUAUACACCAGAACGUACAGACAGGAUAUACUUCGUAGACAGAUGCUGACCAUCACCCAAGGCACCAGCAGAUUCACACAGGGGAAAAGCCAUUUGUGUGCAAGAUUUGUGAUAAAUCAUUCUCACGGUCAACAGGCCUCCGUGAACAUCAACAUACUCACACAGGAGAGACACCAUUCAAGUGUGAGGUGUGUAACAACUCAUUUUCACGGUCAGGGAAUCUCCACGUACACCGACACGUACACACUGGGGAGAAACUGUUCAAGUGUAAUGUGUGUGACAAAUUAUUCCCUGACUCAUCAAGACUCCUGCUCCAUCAGAGAAUUCACAUGGGGAGAAACCAUUCAUAUGUAAGAUGUGUCACAAAUCAUUCUCAACAUCAUCAAAACUCUGUGCACACCAGCGUAUUCACACUGGUGAGAAACCAUUCACGUGUGAGGUAUGUGACAAAUCUUUUUCAGAGUCAUCAAACCUGCAUAAAUAUCAACGCCUUCACACAAGUACAAGCAUGGGAAGCAGAUGUACGUCACCAAUAUGCUGCUGAGAGCUGCUCUCUCUUAAGGAAGUUGAUGCUGGUUGAGAGUGAAGCAGAAACAGAAUUGGACAGAAGGCAUCUUGAUCAGAUCAAACUGUACAAGGAGAUACAAGUCUUCAAAUGUUGCAGACAGUUUGAUGAAUAGAUGGCCUGAAACAAUCUGUUGCUGUAAGAGAGAAUUGGAUAGAGACAAAGAUGUACAAAGGGACUUUAUUCCUGUUGUAAUGGAAAAUCAAACCCAGCCAGGAUCUCAGUACAGUACAACGAUGGUCUUAGUUCAAGUGUACACAGAGGGAGCGGCCAAGGGGAUUCCAAUUCUUCCACAAACAGCUCUUACUUUUAUGUUCAGAAAUCACAACAGGCUAUGUGUUCUUUUGCAUGUACACAUUUACUCAGAAAAAUCACACAGCUACUGUCUACCACUUUAACGAUAAAAGUUGCUUUUGACUCCUAUUGAUAAAGGUCUUGCUUUGCUUAAUGGCACCAGUUGUAGUUUGUUGUCUAGUUUCCAAUGUUCUAACUCAACCCAGUUCCUGGAGCUCUCAGCAUUUGUCAACGUAAGUCAAACUCACUUAUGCUUUAUGUUGCCCCAUGCUUGAUAUCUCAAAAAUCCCAAAAGAGAUGAGAAACGAGAUACUUAAGUGUAAUCAAGUCAAUGAGUCUAAUCUGAUGAAGGUAAGAUAAAUACUCUACUGAGCAUACAUCAGCAAUGAAUGUAAGGACCACAUCAGCAAGUGCUAUGUAGUAUGCCUUACUGGUGUGAAGAGCUGUAAAUGAAGCGUUGGUCUUUGCAGAUCAUUACAAAACUUAAAGACUUUUGUAAGUACAGAGGAUUCUCAAAUCUACCUGUCUUUUAAACCAAGGGUUCACAGAAAGUACAGACCACAUUUCUGUUCUUAACCAAAAUUACGAUUAUUAGAAAUAAAUACUCUCACUAGAGAUAAACAAUUGUGAACCGUCAAUAUAAAACUGUAACCCAUACGUAAAACUCCGCCUCUACGCACACAUACAAAUGGACACAAAAAGUAUGGAUGUUAUGGGCAGAGAGAAAAAGAUUGGGCAGACAAUGCAGUGAUCCUUGGCCACAGCUUUUGCUAAGAUGAUCCUUUCAUGGAUCAGAACACUGCUUCUUGACCUUCCUUCUCCAGGUACUUUCACUUGCUUACAGGAGGCACUGGGUGACUGGUUCACACUUAUAAACGUCUCUGAAGUAUUAAUUACAAGUCACAGCUUACUCAACUGGUUAAGGGAAAUCAGCUAUCUUCAGGCUUCAGGUACUUUUUACUACAAAACAGAAACGACUCUUUUCCUUCCAGAGGUCUGAUCGCUUCUGCCCAAACAUUCCUUCCCAAAAUCUGUUCACCUAGCUUGCAGCCAGUCAUAUUGUUGUUGAUAGACUGGAAGCCUAUGUCAUUGAUAACUAAUCAUUAGUCCACAGACUAAUCAGCUACUGGUUGCUGGCCAAAACUCUGUUCGUACACAGCUUUCCCUACUGCUUGAACCAACAGCUAUGUAAACAGCACUUAACCUGAGUUUCAGGUUAUUUGCUUUUAUAAAAUGCAACAAGUGCAGUAGAUUCAAUAAACCUUGACUUUUAAAAGUUAUUUUCCCAGGGGAGGAUCCUGUUAUCAUUGCCCAUGUAAUUAUUGCUGACAUCGUCAGUAUGAGGAGCUCACUGCCUAAUAAAGAAGUAGAACCCCAAAGGUCAUAAUUUCUGCUUUAUUCUCUGAGUCAUAUGCAUAUUUGCAGAGGACACAUCAGAACAGAGAUGAAUACUGAUUUAGGAAAGGUGGAUUCAGCUUUGUGUGGCACCAGCAGGACUACUGGGGAAAGUAGGAUCCGUACUGAUGGGAUGAUCUCCACCUGUACCACGCUGGGCCCAGUACUCCACAGAUCAGACUUGGGAAGAUAUGGUAAAUCAAAGAAUAGAGUCAAGGUGAAAGAGAAGGGUACUAAUACAGGAAAUGAGAAACAAAUCAUGACAGGAAGAAUUAGAGAGUCUAAAUCUGAGAGACUGCCAGCAGACAAGACUAGCAUUUAGAGAGCAAGUUAAGAAAAUCACUAGAUAAAUUAAAUAUUCUGUAUUGACUGCAUUAGCUUUUGGAACAACAGUGAUGAACUGAGAUGGCAAAUAGACCUAAAUAAGUAUGAUCUGUAGUCCUUACUGAGACAUAGCUGCAAGAAGACAUGGAUUUUGACCUGAAUUUUGAAGGGUGUGGCACAUUUAGAAAUGACAGGAAAUAGGAAAAGGUGGAUAGCGUGGCUCUGUUAGUGAAUGAUCUGCAGUUUUUCUUGCACAAUUUUUAAGUAGAUCAUUUGGUCCUGUAAAUAAUUUGGCAACAUGAUCAUAAAUCACUAUCAAAACAUUCCUAAAAUGCACACACCUUCAUCCUCUGUUACAAAAGCAAAAUAUUGUGAAUGCUAGAAAGCUGACAUAACAUCAGAAACUGUUGGAAAUCCUCAGGUCAGGUAACAUCUGUGGAGAGAGUAGCAAAUCCUCUGCAAAGUUAGACAUGCCACAAACAGUAUUCUCCUCCUCUUCUCCAGUUUUCAAAGAAAUUCAUUCAGCAGAUGUGAGCAUUGCUGACUGUGACUACAUCUGUUGCCCAUCCCUAAUUGCCUUCUUGAACUGCUGCAGUCCAUAUGGUGUAGGGACAUCCAUAAUGCUGAAGGGGAAUUCUAGGAUUUUGACCAAGCAAUUGCUUGGCACAUUUCUGCCUCAACAGUAAUAGCCAGCGAAUCUCCUGAAGUAGUUCAUUUUCCAGCCCAGAACAAUGGAUUCAGACCACAGGUCUAUUCUUGGCCCCCAUUCGUUUCUCAGAAACAUACCAACAGAUGGUGUCCCCAAACUAGUUGUUGACUUGGGCCCCCAUUUCUACUUCAGAGACUUUGUUUGAUAAAAUUUACAGCAGCAAAUGGCACCCAGUGUUCAGGAGUUCGAAUCUGAGUUCUGAAGAAAGGUCACUAGAUCUGAAACAUUAACUCUGCUU